AUUGAACGCUAGCGGGAUGCCUCACACAUGCAAGUCGAACGGAGUGCGGAACGGGUACGUAAUGUAACGGACCGUGCCCAGUCGCGGGGGAUAACUACGCGAAAGCGAAGCUAAUACCACUUCCUAUUGCAGCUGCCGAUACCGGAUUAGCUAGUUGGUGGGGUAACGGCUCACCAAGGCGAAGAUCCGUAGCUGGUUUGAGAGUACGACCAGCCACACUGGGACUGAGACACGGCCCAGACUCCGACGGGAGGCAGCAGUGGGGAAUUUUGGACAAUGGGGGAAACCCUGAUCCAGCCAUCCCGCGUUGACGAUGAAGGCCUUCGGGUUGUAAAGCACUUUUGGCAGGAAAGCGGUACCUGCAGAAUAAGCACCGGCUAACUACGUGCCAGCAGCCGCGGUAAUUC
rnacentral:rRNA from 1 species